AGGCUGGAUAUAAAAGGCCUUCUUUUUUAUACAGUACAGAGAUUAGCAUGUCCCUUGUGCAAGGGUGACUCGCAGAUCUGUGAAGGGUUCCAUAUUUUU
ensembl:snRNA Gm23856 predicted gene, 23856